ensembl:snRNA U6 U6 spliceosomal RNA
GUUCUUACUUCGACAGCACAUGUACUAAAAUUGGAACCAUACAGGGAAGAUUAUCAUGGUCCCUGUGCAAGGAUGACAUGCAAAUUCAUGAAGCAGUCCAUAUUUUU